GACGAACGCUGGCGGCGUGCUUAACACAUGCAAGUCGAACGGAAAGGCCCAGCUUGCUGGGUACUCGAGUGGCGAACGGUGAGUAACACGUGGGUGAUCUGCCCCAAACUUCGGGAUAAGCCUGGGAAACUGGGUCUAAUACCGGAUAUGACCUGCUCCUGCAUGGGGGUUGUGGAAAGCUUUUGCGGUUUGGGAUGGGCCCGCGGCCUAUCAGCUUGUUGGUGGGGUAAUGGCCUACCAAGGCGACGAUGGGUAGCCGACCUGAGAGGGUGUUCGGCCACACUGGGACUGAGACACGGCCCAGACUCCUACGGGAGGCAGCAGUGGGGAAUAUUGCACAAUGGGCGCAAGCCUGAUGCAGCGACGCCGCGUGAGGGAUGACGGCC
rnacentral:rRNA from 1 species